AUGCUUGCUUUGGCAGCACAUAUACUAAAAUUGGAAUGAUACAGAGAUUAGCAUGGUGCCUGUGCGAGGGUGACACACAAAUUCAUGAUGCAUUCCAAAGGGGC
ensembl:snRNA U6 U6 spliceosomal RNA